GCAAGUAGUACUUUCAGUCUUGCAGCCCCACAGUCAUAAUGUAUAGUUCUAUGAUUCUUCUGACCUAUUCUCUUUAUUUACCAAGUGCUGUAUCCUCCAUACGCUCCGCACCUUUUCAAAUAAUUAAACUGUCCUUAUUGUUUAAUCAUAUGUUGCUUUUUUCCAUCUCAUCAGUCUCCACAAUUCAGUCAUAACUCACUCCCUGUAGAGGCUGUUCAUUCUAACAGGCUGGAAGAGCAAACAAAAGUCUGUUGCCAAACUCAUCAACUACUUAAUCAGCUCUUUGUUUGUAAAUGUUGAACAUAGGGUGAUAGUUUUCUUUGGAGUGAGCACAACAAUGUCUCUGCAUGUCAGUCAGUAUUUGUGUAUUUAUGCAGCCUACUCUCCUUGGAAUUGCACUGAAGAGUUUUGGAGUUCAUCCAUCUGCUUUGUAAAUCUCUUUUAACUAUUUCCUUGCCCCAGUACUGUUUUUCCACUCCAGGUCCUUAUCCUGUUUUGUCCCUUUGUCUUCCACAUACAUGAUUCUUUAAUUCUUUGUCUGCUCAUUCAGUUUAUCUUUGUUUUAUCUUGCAGCCUUACUUCUUGCCAGAGCUAUUUCCCUACUCCACCUACAAGAGAUAGGGAUCAGUGAUUCCCUGUCACCUUAUCCUACCAACCUUAGUCCCAUUGUUGAUCCUGUACUUUAAAAUUUCCCUCUCUCUAUCAAACGUGCCUUCUCCAGUUCCUCUCCCAUUUUCUGUACUAGCUUCCAGACCUUCCAUCUUCUUCUCACAGCCACAAUCCUGCUGUCCAUCUACCUCCUCACUGUCAUCUUAAUGUGCACGUAUGCCAUGUUACAUUUUGGGAGCAAAUAAGAGUGUGCCUCAUUCUGUGGAAGCUUUAGUGCAAUUUAAUGUAUACUUAAUUUACAUAGAAUAAUUGCAAACCUUACUACAAUCUGAUUUUAUGGCACCGAGUAAAGGAAAAUUUAUCUAUAUCUGAUUCAGUAUUUCAGAUCCUGAUUGACUGCUUACAUACUGCAUGAGUCAGAAAACUCAAUAAAACCUCAUUGGAACAAUAAAGCCACUUUAAGAGUUUCGUGUAUGGCUGCAACCAGUCUGUAAUUUAUUUUAAUACCCAAUGAGCAAGGAACAUCUUGGAGAUAACAGAGGGAAAUGAGAUAACACAUAUAUCUAAAAGUAGUAAUGCAGCUCCUUUGCUCAACCAGUGUUUUAUACACGAUUUAGCUGGAGUAAGAUUUGGAUGUUCUUUACUGCUGUCAUGAAAACUGUCUGCUACACAGCAUUAACUUACUGGUUUUGGCAAUGAAGAAGCUGAGAUUUUCCCAGUACCAGAAGUACCACGCAUCCCACUCUGAUUUCUUUAUAAAAUACUGGUGAACAAAAGACCUUCCUGAAUUUCAGCAUGCUUACUAAGGACUUGGAAAUCACUGGGAGGACGAUACUCAAGAGGCUGCCAAAGUGUGAUGCUGCAAACAGUUGCGCAUGCUUUCCUUUACAGAAAAUAAAUAUGAAAUAAAGAGAACAGCU
ensembl:lncRNA